rnacentral:rRNA from 1 species
GACGAACGCUGGCGGCGUGCCUAAUACAUGCAAGUCGAACGCAGUGGGGACGGGUGAGUAACACGUGGGUAACCUCCCCUCAGAGGGGAUAACACUUGGAAACAGGUGCUAAAACCGAUACUGAUGGAUGAACCCGCGGUGCAUUAGCCAGUCGUCGAGGUAACGGCUCACCAAGGCGACGAUGCAUACCCGGCCUGAGAGGGGGACCAGCCACACUGGGACUGAGACACGGACCAGACUCCUACGGGAGGCAGCAGUAGGGAAUCUUCGGCAAUGGAGGAAAGUCUGACCGAGCAAUGCCGCGUGAGUGAAGAAGGUUUUCGGAUCGUAAAGCUCUGUUGUUAGAGAAGCGGUAUCUAACCAGAAAGCCACGGCUAACUACGUGCCAGCAGCCGCGGUAAUAC